AGCUCCAAUAGCGUAUAUUAAAGUUGUUGCAGUUAAAAAGCUCGUAGUUGGACCUCUGGGAGGGACCCAAUGUCCGCCGUGUGCGUGCGCAGCGGGGCCCUUCCAUCCUUCUGUUAACGUUUCUCGGUAUUUACUUACUGGUUUCGGGCUCAGAUAUUUUACCUUGAGAAAAUUAGAGUGUUUCAGGCAGGCUUGCGCCGGAAUACAUUAGCAUGGAAUAAUAGAAUAGGACUUUUGUCUCCUUUGUUGGUUUGAGGGACCGAAGUAAUGAUUAAUAGGGACAGUUGGGGGCAUUAGUAUUUAAUUGUCAGAGGUGAAAUUCUCGGAUUUGUUAAAGACUAACUUAUGCGAAAGCAUUUGCCAAGGAUGUUUUCA
rnacentral:rRNA from 1 species